rnacentral:tRNA from 1 species
UCACGGUGGUGCAGUGGGUUGCACUGUUGCCUCACAGCAAAGGUCCUUGGUUUGAAUCCUAUCUGGAG